rnacentral:tRNA from 1 species
GGAGGGUUGGCCGAGUGGUUUAAGGCGGCGGUCUUGAAAACCGUUUGGCGAAAGCCACGUGGGUUCGAAUCCUACACCCUCCGCCA